AAUCAAUUGGCUUAUAAUUGAAGUCUGGAAUGAAAGGGAAAUUGGGGUUAGACUGUCUUAUGAAUAAUACCUAGAAGUUACUAAAUAGGUGAAAAUUCCUAUACAAGGAAAAAAGACGAGAAGACCCUAGAAAUUUUAAUAAAAAACCACUUUAUUUUUGUUGGGGCGACAAGGUAACAUAAAACUUACUUAACUAUAUAGGCAGUUUAUAAACUGUGUAAUCAAAUUACUCUAGGGAUAACAGCAUAAUAUUUUAAAGAUUGUGACCUCGAUGUUGGACUAGGAAGUAUAAUACUUAAAAGGUAUUAUAAUUGGCU
rnacentral:rRNA from 1 species